rnacentral:rRNA from 1 species
GAUGAACGCUGGCGGCGUGCCUAACACAUGCAAGUCGAACGGAGUGGAGGAGCUUGCUCCAAAACUUAGUGGCGGACGGGUGAGUAACGCGUGGGUAACCUGCCCUUAAGUGGGGGAUAACAGUUGGAAACGACUGCUAAUACCGCAUAAAGUUAAGAGUUCGCAUGGACUUUUAACCAAAGGAGUAAUCCGCUUUUGGAUGGACCCGCGUCUGAUUAGCUAGUUGGUGAGGUAACGGCUCACCAAGGCGACGAUCAGUAGCCGGCCUGAGAGGGUGGACGGCCACACUGGGACUUAGACACGGCCGCGACUACUACGAGAGGCAGCAGUGGGGAAUCUUCCGCAAUGGACGAGAGUCUGAAGGAGCAACGCAGCGUGAGUGAAGAAGGUUUUCGGAUUGUAAAGCUCUGUCUUCGGGGACGAACGUGCGAUUAGUGAAUAAUUAGUUGCAAUGACGGUACCCGAGGAGGAAGCCACGGCUAAC